rnacentral:tRNA from 1 species
GUCUGAGUGGCUCAGUGGGUUGAGCAUCUGACUUUGGUUCAGGUCAUGAUCUCACGGUUUGUGGGUCCAAGCCCUGCAUCGGGCU